rnacentral:rRNA from 1 species
GCAUAUCAAUAAGCGGAGGAAAAGAAACCAACCGGGAUUGCCUCAGUAACGGCGAGUGAAGCGGCAAGAGCUCAAAUUUGAAAUCUGGCCCCUCCGGGGUCCGAGUUGUAAUUUGCAGAGGAUGCUUCGGGUGUGGCCCCUGUCUAAGUGCCCUGGAACGGGCCGUCAGAGAGGGUGAGAAUCCCGUCUUGGGCAGGGUGCCCAUGCCCGUGUGAAGCUCCUUCGACGAGUCGAGUUGUUUGGGAAUGCAGCUCUAAAUGGGUGGUAAAUUUCAUCUAAAGCUAAAUACCGGCCGGAGACCGAUAGCGCACAAGUAGAGUGAUCGAAAGAUGAAAAGCACUUUGAAAAGAGAGUUAAACAGCACGUGAAAUUGUUGAAAGGGAAGCGCUUGCGACCAGACUCGGCCUCGGGGUUCAGCCAGCACUCGUGCUGGUGUACUUCCCCGGGGGCGGGCCAGCGUCGGUUUGGGCGGCCGGUCAAAGGCCCCAGGAAUGUAUCACCCUCCGGGGUUGUCUUAUAGCCUGGGGUGCAAUGCGGCCAGCCUGGACCGAGGAACGCGCUUCGGCACGGACGCUGGCAUAAUGGUUGCAAACGACCCGUCUUGAAACACGGACCAAGGAGUCUAACAUCUACGCGAGUGUUCGGGUGUCAAACCCGUACGCGCAGUGAAAGCGAACGGAGGUGGGAGCCCCCUCGGGGCGCACCAUCGACCGAUCCUGAUGUCUUCGGAUGGAUUUGAGUAAGAGCGUAGCUGUGGGGACCCGAAAGAUGGUGAACUAUGCCUGAAUAGGGCGAAGCCAGAGGAAACUCUGGUGGAGGCUCGCAGCGGUUUCUGACGUGCAAAUCGAUUCGUCAAAUUUGGGGUAAUAAGGGGCGAAAGACUAAUCGAACCAUCUGGUAGCUGGUUCCUGCCGAA